UACGGGGGGGGCAAGCGUUGUUCGGAAUUACUGGGCGUAAAGGGCUCGUAGGCGGCCAACUAAGUCGGACGUGAAAUCCCUCGGCUUAACCGGGGAACUGCGUCCGAUACUGGAUGGCUUGAGUUCGGGAGAGGGAUGCGGAAUUCCAGGUGUAGCGGUGAAAUGCGUAGAUAUCUGGAGGAAUACCGGUGGCGAAGGCGGCAUCCUGGACCGACACUGACGCUGAGGAGCGAAAGCCAGGGGAGCAAACGGG
rnacentral:rRNA from 1 species